rnacentral:rRNA from 1 species
AGAGUUUGAUCCUGGCUCAGAUUGAACGCUGGCGGCAUGCCUUACACAUGCAAGUCGAACGGUAACGCGGGGCAACCUGGCGACGAGUGGCGAACGGGUGAGUAACGCAUCGGAACGUGCCCAGUAGUGGGGGAUAGCCCGGCGAAAGCCGGAUUAAUACCGCAUACGACCUACGGGUGAAAGCGGGGGACCGUAAGGCCUCGCGCUAUUGGAGCGGCCGAUGUCAGAUUAGGUAGUUGGUGGGGUAAAAGCCUACCAAGCCGACGAUCUGUAGCUGGUCUGAGAGGACGACCAGCCACACUGGGACUGAGACACGGCCCAGACUCCUACGGGAGGCAGCAGUGGGGAAUUUUGGACAAUGGGCGCAAGCCUGAUCCAGCCAUGCCGCGUGCGGGAUGAAGGCCUUCGGGUUGUAAACCGCUUUUGUCAGGGAAGAAACGCUCCGGGCCAAUACCCCGGGGUAAUGACGGUACCUGAAGAAUAAGCACCGGCUAACUACGUGCCAGCAGCCGCGGUAAUACGUAGGGUGCAAGCGUUAAUCGGAAUUACUGGGCGUAAAGCGUGCGCAGGCGGUUUUGUAAG